rnacentral:rRNA from 1 species
GACGAACGCUGGCGGCGUGCUUAACACAUGCAAGUCGAGCGAUGAAGUUCCUUCGGGAACGGAUUAGCGGCGGACGGGUGAGUAACACGUGGGUAACCUGCCUCAGAGAGGGGAAUAGCCUUCCGAUAGGAAGAUUAAUACCGCAUAAGAUUGUAGUUUCGCAUGAAACAGCAAUUAAAGGAGUAAUCCGCUAUGAGAUGGACCCGCGUCGCAUUAGCUAGGUGGUGAGGUAACGGCGCACAAAGGCGACGAUGCGGAGCCGAGCUGAGAGGGUGAUGGACCAAUUAGGGACUGAAACACGGCCCAGACUCCUACGGGAGGCAGAAGUGGGGAAUAUUGCACAAUGGGGGACACCCUGAUGCCGCAACGCCGCGUGAGUGAUGACGGUCUUCGGAUUGUAAAACUCUGUCUUCAGGGACGAUAAUGACGGUACCCGAGGAGGAAGCCACGGCUAACUACGUGCCAGCCGCCGCGGUAC